rnacentral:lncRNA from 1 species
AUUAUUAUUAUAUGAAUCAAAACUCUCUCCCCCUCUAUAAAUAUAACCCCGUUCUCCCUCAACACAUAUCCAUCCAUCACAAGAGAGACAACUAAGUAUUAGCUACUCUCUCCUCCUUGAUCUCUCUCUCUCUCUCUCUCUCUCUUUCUCUUCAUCACUUGUUCACCUUCAUAUAUAUAUAUAUAUACAUAUACAUACAAGUUUCAUCACACUUGCUCUAUAUAGAGAAUAAUAUUAAAUGGCUCUCUCCAUGAGUGGCAUUGUAGCUGUGUUAAUGGUUCUCUCUUUGGCUCCUCUGAGCCUGGGUGGUGGGUAUCUUUGCCCCGAAUACUACGACAAAUCGUGCCCGCAGGUGAAGGAGAUCGUGUGGUCGAUGGUGGCGAAAGCCGUCGCCAAGGAGCCGAGAAUGGCCGCUUCCUUGCUGAGGCUGCAUUUCCAUGACUGCUUUGUUAAGGUUAAUUAGUUUGGUUACAUUUCUAAUUAAAUUACUUGAUUCCAUAUAUCCUCAUGAUAUAUAUAUAUAUAUAUUGUUAAAUAUAAAAAUGUUUAAACACCGUUCCCUAACAGCUUAAACUUUUAGAGUACAACAGUUGUUUCACAUGGUAUCAGAGCAGAAGGUCCUGAGUUCGAGUCACACCAGGCUCCUAGCAUAUUAAUUUCCUCCCAUUUAAUUCAAGCCCACAUCAUGGGCCGAUUAAAAAGUUUCGAGCCCAGACGUGAGGGGGAGUGUUAAAUAUAAAAAUGUUUAAACACCGUUCCCUAGCAGCUUAAGCUUUUAGAGUACAACGAUUGUUUCAUAUAUAUAUNGUAUUGCAGACCUCUCGCCAGAUAUUUCGUUCCACCAAAUGGGUACAUUAUGUAAGAAGUCCUCCCUGGUCAGCCAUACUCUCUCAAACCGAAAUCGCCUCGGAGUGGGAUUACUCCCAGUAGCAAGGAUUAGCGGGGUGUGAUCGGACGUGAUUCUUGAUAACGCAGAAACCCUACAGUGCGGGAACGCUUGAUCCCAUUCCGUCGAAACAAGAAAUCUGUCCAGCUUGGCCAGGGUUGGUGAGCUUUGCAUAUUAGACCAAGUAAAAUUUUGGUUGGAAAUGGGUAAGUCAAUGACUUCAAGAUUAGAAAUAAGAUCAGAGAACAUGAACAUCGCUUUUGUGCUCCACCGUUUUCCGGUGCGUUCAGUCUGGUUUCUAGUAAAGUUAAAAUCCCCGCAGAUCACCCAUUUACUGUUGGAACAAACCCCACGAAGAGCGAGGAGUUCAGAACAGAACUCUUCUUUCCCAUCCCAUGUUGGCGGUCCAUAAACGUUUGACAGGUAGAAGCUCGUUCCGCUUGUGACAUGUUUCAAGUUGAUGGUUAGCGAGUGCUCACGCACCAACACCUCCGUACCGACGAAAAAUUUGGAAUUCCAACAUGUUAUAAUACCACCCGAGGCACCGACAGCAGGAGUAAAGUGACUUCUGUCAAAACUCGAACCACAGCAAGAGCGAAGAAAGGAUCGAGACACCGACAGCAGGAGUAUGGCACUUUUUACUAGCCUUUUUGUGUUUUAGUUCUUAGUUUAAUUUUCUGUAAAAAGCUGGCAUCAAAAGUGCAGUCAAAUGUAAAUGCAGUUAAGUUUAAGCACAUGCAUGACUCUAGCAUGUCUCACUAAAAUACCAGUAACAUAAAAAUAUAGGUGUUAAAUAAGAUGACAUAAGUGUUAUUUUCUAAAGACUUAAAACUAUUUAGAGAACGUUAUAUUUUAAUAGGUAAAAUUAUAGUAAAAAUUAACGUACAAAACUUAUUUGAAUUAUGAACCAUCUUGGAAAAGCUAAUCAACUUUUUAAACUUUUGAUUUCACUAUCCAAUCUUUCUAUUUGUUUGGUUUGAGUCAGUCAAUAACAUUUUCGUUUCAAAAUUUAAAUACGUCAUAUAUAUAUCGUUACAGAUUUAGUUUGUAUCUAUAUUUCAUAUAAUUCUCACAAAUAUAAGUUCAUUGAAAUAAGUUAUUAGCUAAAUUUAGAGUCCAGGUAAAAAAAUUGAAAGACUAGAGAGUAAAAUCAUCAGAUUUUUAAAAUAUUGGAUAGUCAUUUUCAAAAUGGUCCAUAGUUCGAAAAAGUUCUCUACUUUGUUACCAUUUUAAUGUUUAUACAUUCAAAAUUUCUUCUCACAUCUGACUAGGUGCCUAAUAAGAUCCGAACUCUGAAUUUCUCAUUAUGAUACCAUGAUAAAUAAGGUAAAACAUUAGACCUAAAAUAAUGAAACCUUACUAUUCAUGUUAACUAGAGAAAUAACAAUAAUUCUUAAUUUAUGUAGCUACUAGAGUGAGGCAAAGUAAAGUAGGUUUAAUUACAAGAUAAUAAAGUGCAAAUAGUACAUAUAAUGCUAGAGAACUUUUGAAGUUUUUUUUUCCAUUUUUUAACUUCUCUUUUAAGACAAUUAAUUAGCUUUCAUUGCUGUCCUCUCAAGAGGGUGCACACAGGUCUUCUUCUCCUGUAGAUGGAUCACAUCAUGAGGUAUGCACCUCUAAACCUUGUGACUAAAAUAUACAUAAACCCAAUAAAAUAUUAAUGGGGCUCAAGUGUGACUCAUUAGAACUUUUGACUAGGCAAAGAGCUAGCUAGCUUCUUCUCCAAUAUUAGAACUUUCUCAAAUGUGACUCAUUCACAAGAGAUAUAGUAAUCUUAAUCUUAAGUACUNAAUAGUACAUAUAAUGCUAGAGAACUUUUGAAGUUUUUUUUUCCAUUUUUUAACUUCUCUUUUAAGACAAUUAAUUAGCUUUCAUUGCUGUCCUCUCAAGAGGGUGCACACAGGUCUUCUUCUCCUGUAGAUGGAUCACAUCAUGAGGUAUGCACCUCUAAACCUUGUGACUAAAAUAUACAUAAACCCAAUAAAAUAUUAAUGGGGCUCAAGUGUGACUCAUUAGAACUUUUGACUAGGCAAAGAGCUAGCUAGCUUCUUCUCCAAUAUUAGAACUUUCUCAAAUGUGACUCAUUCACAAGAGAUAUAGUAAUCUUAAUCUUAAGUACUAUAACAACAUCAAUUAGUUUGACAUUAUUGCCCCCCUAUGUAUUGUCACCUGCAUAAUUAAUUAGGGAAGUUUCCUAGCUAAUUACAAUCUACUGCUUUGUGAUCUGCCAAAAUAAAGUGAUCGAUGUAUGAAACCUACUUUGAAAACUAUUUUUUAUGUAUGAAAUUAAAUAAUAUAUAUUCAUAUAUACUUUUCUGAAGUUCUUUGAAAUUAAUUACUUAUGAAGUUAUUACAUAUAAUAAGGCAUUUGAGAAGUAAAAAAAAUGUAAAUCCUCUAGCUGUGGAGAAAGACAAAAUAACCAUCUAUAUAUGUACUAAUUAAGUUAUUUUGAAAAUAAAAACUUCAAUUAGGCACUCUUCUUUUGUGAAGAUAUAUCCAAAUAAUUAAGUUCUAAGACAUUAACCUAGGGAUAAAUUAAUUGGGCCUUAAAUAUAAAUUAGUAAGCUAAUUAAUACUUUGCAAGCAAGCAAAUAAAUCAGGGAGAUGCAUACAUCUUUUCAUAUGCCCUAUUAACUAAACAUUAUCUUCAAUUAUAUCUUAUAUAAGUUGACAAGGCAUUUCUACUACUACAAUUAUGUCCAAGAGACCAUGGUCAAAGCAUGAGAAGUAUUGCACAUGCUCGCCUGUGAAAGGGCAUGUUGGUCAUUUACCAUGCAUGUGGAAAUAUUAAUAUAUUAAUAUUUUGGCCAUUUCCUACUUCCUAGUACUCAAGGUUACAAGUAGCAGGUCUAAAAUUGUAAAGUGACUUGGUAAUUAAUAAGAGUAUACUAAUUAAUGCAUGGAACAGUGGAAAAAUUGGAUUAAGUAACUAACAAGCUUUUUACCUUUUCUCAUCCCCAUCCCCUCAACAAACUCUCUCUCUCUCUCCCUCCCUCUCUCUCUCUAUGCACUAUUAUUCACAUGCACACAUUUACUUAAUUAUUAUAUAUUAUUAUUAUAUGAAUCAAAACUCUCUCCCCCGCUAUAAAUAUAACCCCAUUCUCCCUCAACACAUAUCCAUCCAUCACAAGAGAGACAACUAAGUAUUAGCUACUCUCUCCUCCUUGAUCUCUCUCUCUCUCUCUCUUUCUCUCAUCACUUGUUCACCUUCAUAUAUAUAUAUACAUAUACAUACAAGUUUCAUCACACUUGCUCUAUAUAGAGAAUAAUAUUAAAUGGCUCUCUCCAUGAGUGGCAUUGUAGCUGUGUUAAUGGUUCUCUCUUUGGCUCCU